rnacentral:rRNA from 1 species
GUCUGGUGCCAGCAGCCGCGGUAAUUCCAGCUCCAAGAGCGUAUGCUAAUGCUGUUGCUGUUAAAAAGCUCGUAGUUGGAUUCUGAGUUGAAGGUUGCACCCGGCCUUUCUACUGGGCGUCCUCUGGGCGCUCCAGUCAGAUUGGGUACAACCGAGUGCUUUCGACCUUCACUCUACACACGCGGAAACGAUUCCUCUGCGGAAGCCUCCUUCACUGGUGGUGGAAGCAACAUUACGGGACCACAAGUUCCCAUAAAGAGGCGUCCGCGAUUGUUACUGUGAACAAAACAGCGUGUUCAAAGCAUCCGUUUGGCUGAAUGAUCUAGCAUGGAAUAACAAGGGAUCGACCCUUUUGGUCUUCUUUUUGUCGGUUCCGUCGGUAUUAAUAGGAGCAAGCGGGGUGGUACGUAUUGCUGCGUUAGUGGUGAAAUACUUAGACCGCAGCAGGACGAACAACAGCGAAGGCAUUCUGCAAGUUUGCUUUCAUUAAUCAAGAACGAGAGUGUGGGGUUCGAAGAUGAUCAGAUACCGUCGUAGUCCAUACCCGUAAACGAUGCCGAUUUGAAAUCAGCGGGGGUUCUACUUUAUGACCCCGUUGGCAUCGCCCCCUUUUAACGAGAAAUCCCAAAUUUUUGGGUUCAGGGGGGAGUACAUUCGCAAGGCUGAAACUUAAAGGAAUUGACGGAAUGACACCACAAGACGUGGAGUAUGCGGCUUAAUUUGACCCAACACGGGGAAACUCACCAGGUCAGGACGAAAUUAGGAUUGACAGAUUGAAGUUCUUUCUUGAUCUUUCGGAUGGUGGUGCAUGGCCGUUCUUGGUUGGUGAAGUGAUUUGUCUGCUUAAUUGCGUUAACGAACGAGAUCUCUGCCUCUUAAUAGGUGGCGGCGACGCCUCUAAGCAGCUAUGGGGUUGGUGAAGGCUUCACGGCUGGAUCCGCCUUUUUGCUGUGAGUCUGCCGUGAAACUUCUUAGAGGGACUGUGUACGUUCCAGUACACGGAAGGUAGAGCCAAUAGCAGGUCUGUGAUGCUCCUAGAUGUCCUGGGCUGCACGCGCACUACACUGAUGGCGAAAACGAGUUUGCACUCCUUGUGAGUCCUGCUUCGAAAGGAGUGGGAAAUCUUGGAAGGCGCCAUCGUGACUGGGAUAGAUGAUUGCAAUUAUUUGCCUUGAACGAGGAAUGUCUAGUAAGGGCGCUUCAUCAGAGCGCCCUGAUUACGUCCCUGUCAUUUGUACACACCGCCCGUCGUUGCUACCGAUUGGUUUUGGAACAGAGAUCUUAGGAGGACCGGGCCCAGGGUUCGCCCUGCGGCUUCUUGGUUUCCAAAUUAGCUCAAUGUCUCAAAGCUAGAGGAAGCAAAAGUCGUAACAAGGUAGCUGUAGG